AGGCCUAAAGGUCUUUUAAACCAAAAUCCGAUUUGCAAUCAAAUAUUAUUAGACC
rnacentral:tRNA from 1 species